rnacentral:rRNA from 1 species
AGGGAAAGGUGAAAAGAACCCCGAUGAGGGGAGUGAAAUAGAACCUGAAACCAGCAGCUUACAAACGGUCGAAGGCCUAUGUCCUUUUUAAGGAAAUGGCUAACGGCGUGCCUUUUGCAUGAUGAGCCAGCGAGUUACUAUUAAAUGGCAAGGUUAAGGGACAACGUUCUGGAGCCGAAGCGAAAGCGAGUGUUAAAAGCGCGUAUAGUCAUUUGAUGUAGACACGAAACCGAGUGAUCUAUCCAUGACCAGGUUGAAGCAAGGGUAACACCUUGUGGAGGACCGAACUAGUUGCCGUUGAAAAGGCUUUGGAUGAGUUGUGGAUAGGGGUGAAAGGCCAAUCAAACUCGGAGAUAUCUUGUUCUCUUCGAAAUAACUUUCGGGUUAGCCUCGAACAUAAUUAUCUACAGGGGUAGAGCACUGAAUUCACGCGGGGGCCUACCGGCCUACCAAAGGAAAUCAAACUCCGAAUACUGUAGAUUCGUUCGGGAGAUAGACAGUGGGGGAUAAGCUUCAUUGUCAAAAGGGGAACAGCCCAGAUCGCCGAUUAAGGCCCCAAAUUCUAUGCUAAGUGAGUAAGGAAGUGGAGUUUCUAAAACAGUUGGAAUGUUGGCUUAGAGGCAGCCAUCAUUUAAAGAGUGCGUAACAGCUCACCAAUCGAGAAACUCUGCGCCGAUAAUAUCCGGGACUAAUAAGCAUAGAGCCGAAAUCGCGGGUUUAGCUUGUAAAAGCUAAGCGGUAGGAGAGCGUAGUAUGUGCAGCGAAGAUGUACCGUAAGGAGCAUUGGAGCGCAUACUAGUGAUAAUGCAUGGCAUGAGUAAACGAUAAAGGAGGUGAAAAUCCUCCUCGCCGAAAAUCCAAGGUUUCCAGGGUAAAGCUCGUCUUCCCUGGGUUAGCCGGUCCCUAAGCCGAGGCUGAAAAGCGUAGGCGAUGGCAAGCAGGUUAAAUAUUCCUGCGCCACCUAAAACUAUGAUGAUGAGUUGACGAAGUACGUUAAGCACGCGGACGAUUGGAAGUGUCCGUGGACAUAUGAGGCCGGCUAGUAGGCAAAUCCGCUAGCAUAAAGCCAGGUAUGGACCAAGGGGAGCCCUCGGGUGAACCGAUAGUGUAGCGCAACGCUUCCAAGAAAUAGACUCUAAUCGUUGAUGGUGACCGUACCAAAACCGACACAGGUGGAUGGGAAGAAUAUUCUCAGGCGCGCGAGAGAACUCUCGUUAAGGAACUCGGCAAAUUAUCCCCGUAACUUCGGGAGAAGGGGAGCCACGGGGUGUGACAUUCUUCGCGAAUGAAGCAUCAAGUGGCCGCAGAGAAAUGGCCCAGGCGACUGUUUAACAAAAACACAGCACUAUGCAAAGUCGUCUAAGACGAAGUAUAUGGUGUGAUGCCUGCCCAAUGCCAAAAGGUCAAAAGGAGAAGUUAGUGCGCAAGUGCGAAGCUUUGAAUUUAAGCCC